UACGGAGGGUGCAAGCGUUAAUCGGAAUUACUGGGCGUAAAGCGCGCGUAGGCGGUUAGUUAAGCUGGAGGUGAAAGCCCAGGGCUCAACCUUGGAACUGCGUUCAGAACUGGCUGGCUAGAGUACGAGAGAGGGUAGUGGAAUUGGCUGUGUAGCGGUGAAAUGCGUAGAUAUAGGCAGGAACAUCAGUGGCGAAGGCGACUGCCUGGCUCGAUACUGACGCUGAGGUGCGAAAGCGUGGGGAGCAAACAGG
rnacentral:misc_RNA from 1 species